GGCACCAUAGCCAAGCGGUAAGGCAGAAGUCUGCAAAACUUCCAUGCUCCGGUCCGAAUCCGGAUGGUGCCUCCA
rnacentral:tRNA from 1 species